GCCCACUAGAAGAAAAAAUGGCAAGUUUUGGGAUUUUUCCGAUAAGUUGAAUAGGAGGAAAAAAAGCAUGGGAGAGGUCUGUCAGCUUUAUGGACAUGAACAGCAUCCCACUGAAGGAAUAAGGUUUGAACUUUUCAGAUUGCUCUCCCAUUUUCACAGUAGCAAACCCCUACGAUGGAAACUUCAUAUACUCUUAGAGAUUUUUUGAGCAAGGGGUAUGGAAGACAGAAAAAGGAGAAUACAAAUACAGCCGAUAAAAGGAGGUAGACCCAAAAAUAAGGGAAAAAAUUAAAAACACUUUGGAAAGUACUUACCUACUAUGGACACAGGAAUAGUCUGAUCCAUCCUCACAAUAUGACAUUGGUAGGUUUUUGAAAGUCAUUGCUGAAAUGGGAACAUUUUCAUGUACUGCUGUAACAGUCUUAGCUUUUUGACUCUACAGAAAUAUUAAAACCUAUUUUCAUUUGAAAUGUAUGUUGGCUUUUCUUUUUCAUUGAUAAAUUGAUAGCUCUUAGGUCAUUGAGUGUAUCCUUAGUCACCUCGAUUGGUGAUGCAGUGCCACAGCCUUGAUUUUGUUUUGUCAAUAGUCAGAGACUUCCUUUAGCUAAAGUCUUGGGAAUGUGCUUUAUUGAUCAAGUAAUAGCUGGAUGAACCAUUAUAAACCCAUCAUUGCUACUGGAAUGACAGCUCAAGAGAAAUGAUCUACCAGUACAUGUGAUACAAAGGUCUGUACAUUGAAGUUAUUUAGCCAACAAGGUAACAGCUAUUUACUUGAAAUUGUUUCAAAAUGACA